rnacentral:rRNA from 1 species
CUUCCUACGGGACGCAGCAGUGGGGAAUAUUGGGCAAUGGGCGCAAGCCUGACCCAGCAACGCCGCGUGAAGGAAGAAGGCCCUCGGGUUGUAAACUUCUUUUCUAUAGGACGAAGAAGUGACGGUACUAUAGGAAUAAGCCACGGCUAACUACGUGCCAGCAGCCGCGGUAAUACGUAGGUGGCGAGCGUUAUCCGGAUUUACUGGGUGUAAAGGGCGUGUAGGCGGGAGAG